GUCACAACUGGGAGCUCUGCUUUCACAGUGAUUAUGUAACAAUGUACGGUCCCAAGGAAACUCAGCAAAGCUAACAAGAUGCUGAAUGAAACCAGGAAGAAAAGAUGACUGCCCACAAGAUAAAAGCCCACGGUGUCACUAAGCCACUUGGGGUGGAGGCCGUUAGUUGGGCUUACAGCACAGUUGAUUCAGCUGUUGCAAUUACUUUCAACAUUAAAGGGAGCAGAAAUGAAUAGAUCAAUCGUGCCUCAGGCCAGUGUGCUAGCCACAGGACUCUAAAAAUAAAUAAAUGUCACUGUGGAGAGCUUUAGAAGAGGAAGCUCUCUGCUAAAGAGAGGACACAUUGGCCCUUUAUGUUUUUCCAAAGUCAUGACUGACAUGAGCUAUUCAAAUGUCUCAGAAACGAACUCCUUGUAUUUUGAUACCUCAGCAAUAUUUGGAUUUAAUUUUCUUUCUAAAAAGGGAAUCAUAGCAAGCAUCCAAUUUUGUAGUAUCCUAAAGUAUGACUGCUCAUCUACACAAAAGAUGAGUAUUGCAUUCCUGGAGGUGGAGAGUGGAGGGUUCCUCAAGAGGCCAGCUCAGAGACAUGUGGUCUUUGAAACUAUUUGAUAAAACUGCUUCAGUUCUUGGAAAGAUUAGCAACCACAGUGGGGUGGAAAGAGCUUUGGGAUGUAGAGGACAAGCAUUUGCCCCUGAGGAUAUUUUUAGUCAUCAUCUAUUUGUAACCACAGAUACCGAAUCCUCAUUCAUGUUACUAACGUGAACUUUCAAGAAAACUUUUUUUUUUUUUUUUUGAGUUUAGAAAGUGAAUUGAUGCCAAAUACUUAUUGGUAGGUAGGACAAAAUGUCUGCAAUUGGCAUGUGAAUGCUCAAAGAGGCAACUGGCUUAGAGAGGGUCCCUCAGUUUUAGGGAUCCUCCUCCACCUCCUGCCCAUGGAUCUCCCCUCUGUGCUGCGGAGUACAAGCCAGCUGGUCCAUGGCCUUCUGGGAAAUUCUCCUCUCCGUGUGACCUAUCUCAUCGUAGGAGUGCUGGGAUUACAGAUGUGCACCACCACACCUGGUUUUUGAUGCUGGUUUGGGGAUGGAACUAAGACCAUCAGCUUGCACAUCAAGGGGGAAAAAAAAUGAAGACGGUUCUCAAAGCAGCCCAUGUUUACAUGGUGUAUGGCUGGAGAUAAUUAUGUGAAAAUCAAAGUACCCGAGCUGCGUGCAAAGCAUGAACACACUCGAGGAACAGUAAAAGAGGCUUCGGGGAAGCAAGGGGCCGAUCUGAAUCUCAAAAAGACCACAGUGCAGAGGGAUGCUGGCGAAUUCCCUGGCUUCUUUUCAGGGGUAAAGCAACAACACCAAGAACUUUAGUUGGUCCUGCAAUUUCCUCCCUCCCACUCAGGAGCCCCUUCUAAUUAGGGCAAUACUCCCUCCCACUGCUUAAUUAAAUGCCUUCUCAGAGCAGCUUCAGAUCUGAUAGGGAUGAAUAAAUUGUUCCUUCCUCUGCUGGAGCUAUAGGUGAUCUGGCUCCAGCUAACAAAAACUGGCCUGGAACAGCAAUGGCAGCAGGAAAGGCUUUGGAGGCUGGGCAAGGCCUGUUCGGGGAUGCCCAAGUGUGGAAAGAGCGUGAGUGGAUUUUAGAAAGAUGAGGUGUCUGCUGUUCCAAAUCCUGCGAUGAGAAGUAGGGUGUCCUGGCUGCUACUGGGAUGUCCAUCAGGAAAGGCUAAACUAUAGAAGCAGAGGCCUAAAUUCUACAACUUAAACAAUGCAAUUCCUUCUUUAUGUGAAAGAGUAUCCCCUGCAGGAAAUCCAGAGCUGACCCUGUGACAUCAUAAAGAAGAAGUUCUAUUGUGUUCAGCAAUAAACCUCAAGCAUACCUUCUAAUUCAAUAUGGCUGCUGGGGAGCCAACCAUUACAUCUGUAUUCCAAGAACAAGAAGACACAGAGCACCUCUUUUGACUAGCAAAUGUUGUCCUCUCUCUGGGCACACUCCUGCUGCUAAGACAAAAGGGAAGAUGGGUGCCAGGCAGCUUAGCCGCUCGCUCUUGGCUAGAUUCCAGUGGUGAAGGUCAUUUCUCCAGCCCUGUGCAUCCUUCUUUGAGAUGAUAAAGAUAGAUACCUGUUUCCCACACUAAGCCAACGAGGGGAGCUGUAUAUUUUUGAGGAUCCCACAGACCAUCUUCCCAAUGGGAGUCACCAAAACACUUAUUGCAGAGGCCGCCAUAAGAAAGUGGUAAUUUUUAAAAAAUUCUUCUGAGUAUUUUUCAAUUUUGUCUAGGAAAUAGACUAAUUGCUGUCUUCCCUAAAACAUUCCCAAAGUGUUUUUAAUGGCUUUCUAGCUAUAAAUAAGUUGCAGUGCUUAGCAACGAGGAACAGAGGGGAGACGUAUAAAGCUCUUUGUUUUUAUAAUAACAGCCCUACCCAGGGCUUGCACUGGGUAAAGGGACCUCACUUCCUGACAGUGUGCUUUUCUGUUGUUAAGAAAUGAUGUAUUUCUCAUUGGUCUUUGCUUUUAAAUCCUCUUAGUUUGUCCGCGUAAUAUAAAUGACCUAAAACUGGCAUGGAUUUUAAGAAACUAAGAUUGGUUCAUAGAAGAAAUACUGCAUUGGUUAGGAUUUGUAUGGCUGCAAUGAAA
rnacentral:sRNA from 1 species